rnacentral:rRNA from 1 species
AGCCUGANGCAGCACGCCGCGUGAGGGANGAAGGCCUUCGGGUUGUAAACCUCUUUUAGCAGGGAAGAAGCGAAAGUGACGGUACCUGCAGAAAAAGCGCCGGCUAACUACGUGCCAGCAGCCGCGGUAAUACGUAGGGCGCAAGCGUUGUCCGGAAUUAUUGGGCGUAAAGAGCUCGUAGGCGGUUUGUCGCGUCUGCUGUGAAAAUCCGAGGCUCAACCUCGGACCUGCAGUGGGUACGGGCAAACUAGAGUGCGGUAGGGGAGAUUGGAAUUCCUGGUGUAGCGGUGGAAUGCGCAGAUAUCAGGAGGAACACCAAUGGCGAAGGCAGAUCUCUGGGCCGUAACUGACGCUGAGGAGCGAAAGCGUGGGGAGCGAACAGGAUUAGAUACCCUGGUAGUCCACGCCGUAAACGGUGGGAACUAGAUGUAGGGACCGUUCCACGGUUUCUGUGUCGCAGCUAACGCAUUAAGNUCCCCGCCUGGGGAGUACGGA